rnacentral:lncRNA from 1 species
AAGACAUUAUUUAUUAAAUUACAUUAAUUUUUAACAAUAUUAAUAAAGUUUUUAUAAAACAUUGAUAAAGAAAAUUCUUAUUAAUAAUAAUGAUACUAUUGACCAGUGUACAACUUGAAUUCAACUUCCAUGAGAUUAUAAGUUCAACCUCUCGCCACACUAAGUUGAUAACAUAUUGCACUAUUUGAGAUUCUAACAAGGAGUUUUACCAUCUGUAUAAUCACAAUUAAUACAACAUGAACAAGUGUGGCUUUUACCAGCAUCUUGGCAAUUACAAUUGUGAGUGGUGGCGCUUGCUCCAU